rnacentral:rRNA from 1 species
UACAAAGGGUGCGAGCGUUAAUCGGAAUUACUGGGCGUAAAGCGUGCGCAGGCGGUUCGUUGUGUCGGUGGUGAAAUCCCCGGGCUUAACCUGGGAAUGGCCAUGGAAACUGGCGAACUGGAGUGCGGCAGAGGGGGGUGGAAUUCCGCGUGUAGCAGUGAAAUGCGUAGAUAUUGGGAGGAACACCGGUGGCGAAGGCGGCCCCCUGGACCGGUACUGACGCUGAGGCGCGAAAGCGUGGGUAGCAAACGGG